UACGAAGGGUGCAAGCGUUACUCGGAAUUACUGGGCGUAAAGCGUGCGUAGGUGGUUUGUUAAGUCUGAUGUGAAAGCCCUGGGCUCAACCUGGGAAUGGCAUUGGAUACUGGCGAGCUAGAGUGCGGUAGAGGGUAGUGGAAUUCCCGGUGUAGCAGUGAAAUGCGUAGAGAUCGGAAAGAACACCAACGGCGAAAGCACUCUGCUGGGCCGACACUGACACUGAGAGACGAAAGCUAGGGGAGCGAAUGGG
rnacentral:rRNA from 1 species